GACGAACGCUGGCGGCGUGCUUAACACAUGCAAGUCGAACGGAAAGGCCCUGCUUUUGUGGGGUGCUCGAGUGGCGAACGGGUGAGUAACACGUGAGUAACCUGCCCUUGACUUUGGGAUAACUUCAGGAAACUGGGGCUAAUACCGGAUAUGAGCUCCUGCUGCACGGUGGGGGUUGGAAAGUUUCGGCGGUUGGGGAUGGACUCGCGGCUUAUCAGCUUGUUGGUGGGGUAGUGGCUUACCAAGGCUUUGACGGGUAGCCGGCCUGAGAGGGUGACCGGCCACAUUGGGACUGGGAUACGGCCCAGACUGCUACGGGGGGCAGCGGUGGGGAAUAUUGCACAAUGGGCGGAAGCCUGAUGCAGCAACGCCGCGUGCGGGAUGACGGCCUUCGGGUUGUAAACCGCUUUCGCCUGUGACGAAGCGUGAGUGACGGUAAUGGGUAAAGAAGCACCGGCUAACUACGUG
rnacentral:rRNA from 1 species